rnacentral:rRNA from 1 species
UACGGAGGGUGCGAGCGUUGUCCGGAAUCAUUGGGCGUAAAGGGCGCGUAGGUGGCCCGGUCAGUUCGUGGUGAAAGCGCGGGGCUCAACCCUGCGUCGGCCAUGAAUACUGCCGCGGCUGGAGCACUGUAGAGGCAGGCGGAAUUCCGGGUGUAGCGGUGGAAUGCGUAGAGAUCCGGAAGAACACCGGUGGCGAAGGCGGCCUGCUGGGCAGUUGCUGACACUGAGGCGCGGACAGCGUGGGGAGCAAACAGGG